AGGCUUAACACAUGCAAGUCGAGCGGUAACAUUUCUAGCUUGCUAGAAGAUGACGAGCGGCGGACGGGUGAGUAAUACUUAGGAAUCUACCUAGUAGUGGGGGAUAGCUCGGGGAAACUCGAAUUAAUACCGCAUACGUCCUACGGGAGAAAGGGGGCAACUUGUUGCUCUCGCUAUUAGAUGAGCCUAAGUCGGAUUAGCUAGAUGGUGGGGUAAAGGCCUACCAUGGCGACGAUCUGUAGCUGGUCUGAGAGGAUGAUCAGCCACACCGGGACUGAGACACGGCCCGGACUCCUACGGGAGGCAGCAGUGGGGAAUAUUGGACAAUGGGGGAAACCCUGAUCCAGCCAUGCCGCGUGUGUGAAGAAGGCCUUUUGGUUGUAAAGCACUUUAAGCAGUGAAGAAGACUCUUCGGUUAAUACCCGGAGACGAUGACAUUAGCUGCAGAAUAAGCACCGGCUAACUCUGUGCCAGCAGCCGCGGUAAUACAGAGGGUGCAAGCGUUAAUCGGAAUUACUGGGCGUAAAGCGAGCGUAGGUGGCUUGAUAAGUCAGAUGUGAAAUCCCCGGGCUUAACCUGGGAACUGCAUCUGAAACUGUUAGGCUAGAGUAGGUGAGAGGGAAGUAGAAUUUCAGGUGUAGCGGUGAAAUGCGUAGAGAUCUGAAGGAAUACCGAUGGCGAAGGCAGCUUCCUGGCAUCAUACUGACACUGAGGCUCGAAAGCGUGGGUAGCAAACAGGAUUAGAUACCCUGGUAG
rnacentral:rRNA from 1 species